rnacentral:rRNA from 1 species
CGAACGCUGGCGGCGUGCCUAACACAUGCAAGUCGAACGAGAAAGCGGGCUUCGGCCCGUGAGUAGAGUGGCAUACGGGUGAGUAACACGUGGGCAAUCUGCCCGGAGGUGGGGGAUAACUCUCGGAAACGGGGGCUAAUACCGCAUGAUAUCUCGAGGACUCCGGUCCUUGCGAUCAAAGCUAGCCUCUUCUUGAAAGCUAGCGCCAUCGGAGGAGCUCGCGGCCCAUUAGCUUGUUGGUGAGGUAACGGCUCACCAAGGCUACGAUGGGUAGCCGGCCUGAGAGGGCGAUCGGCCACACUGGAACUGAGACACGGUCCAGACUCCUACGGGAGGCAGCAGUGAGGAAUAUUGCGCAAUGGGCGAAAGCCUGACGCAGCGACGCCGCGUGGAGGACGAAGGCCUUCGGGUCGUAAACUCCUGUCAAGGGGGACGAACGUCGUGGGGAUGAAUAAGCCUCACGUUUGACGGUACCUCUGGAGGAAGCCCCGGCUAACUCC